ensembl:lncRNA
CAAGAAGCAAACGGAGUAAAAAAGAAAGAAUACAUUUCACACACCAGAGUUGCAUAACAUUUAACAAACCAAACACUGAAAUAUAGUUUUAGAAUGUAAAGUUAAAACCCAAACUGGUCCUUGCAUCAAUACCGGGACCCAGUCAAAUAUGCUAUACCGCCCAGCCCUAAGUAAGACAGAGCAAGGAUAUCUGCUUUGGUACUCCUUACCCUUCAUUGAACCAGUCUGUGUCCGAGUGUCCAUGGGUUCUUGUCCAUCUUUGAAGUUGAACGACUCUGGCAGCACACUGAACCUCAGAACACUGUUCUCCUCAAGAGGCAAAAGAGCAGGGCUCCUGAUCUUAAUUGUACUUUUUUCCACUGUAACAGGUUUGCUGGAUGGCACUGCCUUGAUCCUAGAUUUCUUCAGUCUGAGUUUCAGGCCAUUUAAGAUUCUCUCUCUUUCAAAGUGCCGCAAAGUCUGCUUGACCCUUACGGUUCUUUCUGGUGUGGCUCGUCUUUCAGAGGAUAAUGCACUACCAUCUGUGUUGGUCGAGGUAACAGUCUUUUUGGCAACUUCAGCACAAACAAUCUUCGGAGCAAAGCCUCUUCUGUUUCGUAGUCUUGGUCUGCCCCUGGACUUUGUCUUCUUUGUUGGCACAAAACUGUUCUCCCACUCGUUGAAGAGCCGUUGUCUGACUGGGCUUUCCACUGGCGGGCUGGUCUCGGAGGGCUCUAUCCUCCAGGACUUGACAUUCACAAUGAGGGUUAAAGGAGGUGCUGGAGCUUUGUCUGCAAAAGGUCUAGGUCGAGAAGAAUUAUGGUCCUUGCGUUGGCCAGUUACUACAGUCCCAUUUGUCCUCUGGGGCGAGGAACCAAACAAGUUGAAUGAAGGGACCCAAACCUUGCCUUAUUUUCCUUCGCUUUCUUGGGACAGAAUGAGGACCUUCAACACAUCUCUUGUGUCCAACCCCUUUUUGUUUAACCUUCCAGCUACAAUUUAAUUUAGGCGAUAGAUGCUUGUGACAUCUUUGUGCCAAGGAGAGUGAUGUUAGAAAACUGAUUUUCUCUUUCUCUGGUUGGCGUAGCAGAUUAGAAGUAGGAAUGGUAACUGUAGGAAUGACUUCACUACCCCCAAGGUUCCUUUCUUCCAAAGAGACACUAAGUGCUUGUACACAUUCCAUUUGUUUCUGGAGUGGACCUGGUAGUUGCUGCUUUGGCUGUACAUUGUCCCACACUAGCUCAGACAUUGGGGUGGAUACUUUGAGAAAGUCUUCAUAGCUCGAGAAGACAUCUUCAAUUUCAACUUCAACAAUGUUUGGGCACUUGCUGGGCAGGCACAGUGAUGGGGGUUUUGACAAUGGCAAGCUCUUCGCCCCAUUAGUGUAUGGGCGAUCAGUCUCAGAUUCACUAUCAGACAAGAAAAUAGUUUGGCAUUCAAUGCCUGUAGAUUUCCCUGAUUGGGGAUUCCCAUUUUUACCAGGAUUCCCUUCCCUCUUUCUUUCUGCUGUGCCAUUUGAUUUCCAUAAAUCCAGGCUUUCCCUUUGUUCUGCAUUUGUUGUGCUCGGUUCAACAGCCAAAGUUCCCUCGACAAACAUCUUUGCAUUCACAGUGGCCUUUGUCAAACCCAAUUCAGUCUUGUACUGGCAUUUGCAGGACACAGAAUUGGUGGACCCACUGAACACUGCCUUCCAACGUGAGAGACAACAGUAAUCUUCCGAUUGGACAUCCAAUUCAUAUUUUACAGUCGUCAACUUUACAUCUACUCUCUCAGAUGAUUUAUCCUCCACGGAGUAAUCUUUCAACUCAUUCAGCUCCACAUCCACUGGCAAUUUCAACUGGUCUUCUCCCACUUUGUCUUGCAGUAGCUGGCCAUUGAAAAACCGCAUAGCCUCUUCUGGUGUCAGCACGUUGAUCUCCAGGGAGGAAAAUGGGUCACAUAAAAUGGUGUUUUCACUUUCUUUCUUAACUGGUGAGAGGGUGUGUGUAGAGCUGUGUGCCAAACUUGACCCUUGAAUUUCUUUAGGAUCAGAUUCAGAGGGUGCUGGUCUCUCUGUCUGAAUCACCUCAGUCUGCAUGUCACUGGCAGAGUCUUCAUUUUCUACAGAAUUUUCAUUUUCGGUACAAUUCCGUUUUGGUUGUUCAUCUCCUCUUCGAAAAGUCUGUUGGUGAUAUAUUAGUGACGAAGGGAAUCCAAACUCCCUGUCUAUGUCAUCAAGCUGCUUAUUGGUGUUCAGCCACGAGGACUCUUGACCCGGGACAACGGGGUAAACAGAAUCAUGUUUAAGAAUGACACACUUCUCUUCAACUUGAGCCCAGUUUUUGCGCCUGACUUGUGAAAAUAUGACAGACUGUGAUGACAUAUCUUUGCCACACACAGAUCUAACCUCUCGCAUUAUAUUCUGGAAGAUACCAGAUCUUACAGCAUCUAUAAGCUUCUGCCCAUCUCCAUCCCAAUAGAGGCUUAGUAGCUUGCUUUCAACCAGUGUCUCAGAGCAUUUUGGAUGUUGCACAGUGUCUACCAACUCCUUCAAUUUACCAAGUCUCCAUUUGAUUACAGGAACUGAGGACAACUCAAAAAUGUCCUCAUCUGAAACUAGUUUUUCAUUUGUUUCCUCACUCAAUUGGUUAACAUGCACAUGAGUGGUCAUUUCUGUGCCAGCUAACUCUUUUCUCUGAGUGGCUUGACAUUUCAAAUUAGAUAAUGGUUGAGAAUCAACUUUCUCUACAUGUAAGCAGUUCGAUAGUGACGGUUCAGACUCAAAAUAUGAAUAUGUCUUGGCCAGUUCAACAACUGAAGUUUCUGAAUCCUGAGUCACUGUUCUUCCAGCACCCAAUUCUAAUGUAGCUUCUGGUCUGACCUUGGGGACCUUUUGUUCAAAUUCAUUUGUCAAAGAAGCAGAUACAGUAAGGGUUGUUUGGGCUUGUGAUGGACUCUGGUCACAAGAUUCUUCCCCAGGGUUGCUCACAUUUUCAUCACUAGUUGAGAACGACAUACCUUGGGUAGUCAAGGGCAUUCUAUCAGCCACGUUGAGAGAUGUGUUUGUCUGCAUACACUGCGAUAGUGGUUGUACAACGGCGAUGGCCUUCUGCACCGUAGGAACAGAGGGGGCAUUAAUUGCAGAUGAUCCUUGCCGUACCAGAGCACUUUCAUUAGGUUUAUCUCCUAUCAAAAUAACCUUUUCUGCUCUAAAUCCAUUUCCACUUUUGUCCUCUGUUACCGUUACGUAAUAGCCCUGUCUUAUGGGGUAUGACGGUGGCACAGACUCACAGUUUUGCUGGCCUGAAAACUGCAUACCAUGGUUUAGCACAGAUGAAGAUUGUCCAGUGUUGGAUGUCAGAACAUAGGUGUUUUUUGGCUUGUAAUGUAGGGUAUGGGCUGAGCCUUGGUUUGGUAUGUAUUGCAGAGAAUGUGCUCCUGCCCCAACCACAUAUCCAGUCUUGUUCAGCAUGGGUCCAUGUGAGCGCUGGCCUGGGUAUGGUGGAGGAGCGGACUCACGGGUGUGCUCGACUGAAGACUGUAUACCAUUGUUUGGCACAGAUGAAGAUGGUCCAGUGUUGGACACCAGAACGUCUGCCUUGUAAUGUAGGUUGGAUACGCCUUCGAUAUGGGGCCUAGGAUAUGGGGCAUGGUGUGCAUUAUUUUUAAUGGCCCCUGCCUGACUGUUCAUAUUUGCACAAUUUGACACAAGUCUGUUCUGUUGUGGUGGGUUGGUAAGGCCUGCAGGGCGAUAUCUUUGAAAAUUAUUAAGAGAAGGGUUAUGCAUAACAUUGUAUUGAGGAUUCUGGCUAAUGUUAUGCAUUGGCAUUGACUGCCCCACUGUAGCAUUUGGUAGAUUGACCUGGUUGUUGCUGUCCGUGAGAGGUUGGAAGGGAUACAUUUGACUGUGGUUUGAUGGGUCAGUUUGGACAGGUGUGCUAUGUUGAACCCUGUUCAUCUCAGUCCUGUUGUUAUUGUUUUGAUUUAGAAUCAAAUAGAGUUGUUUAUAUGCUGUGGGAGACUGUGGAGAUGUCCUCGAUGGCACACUACUUGUCUCCUGUGCAAUUUGCAAAGAGUUUGGUGUUUGUGGAUAUCCCUGAUGAAGAGCUUGAACCGCCAUCCUACUUGAAUCCUUUCCACUCACUACAGUCCAUUGAUGAUUGACAUGAUUGGGACUCCUACCCAUUGCAAGAGCAGCAGAGGUACCACUGGAGGUCCCCUCUUGUCUGCCAAGUACCAGCUGCUGACUGCCACUUGCUGGUCUUUGGAGAUAAAUACAAUUUGUAUUCAGUGAUGCAUUAAUAUCAGAGGGGCAGUGAAUGGUUGCACCCUGACCAUCCUGUACCAACCUCUGUGAAUUGUUACCAUUAACACCCAAAGACCUAUGUUCCUGCUGGAAAGUGGUUUGAAAAGCAUCGUUAACCCUUCCAGGCAGGGUGUGAUGGUAUCCACUUUGUGAUGUAACACUAGUUGAUUGUGCAGCUGCAUUGUUAGUCAAGAGUGAUGUCAAAAGGGGACUAGUGGCCAUUAGGGUCUGCUCUUUUGUGGGUGCCUGUUGAUUCUGGGUCUGUCCACUCAAGUAACCUACACUGGUUACUUGACUGCUGUGUGGUAAGCAUUCACCACCUUGAGUAUAUGGGACCACUGGUCCGACUUCCCUACCUAGUGUAUACGCCACCGAUGGUCUGACCAUCCCAUAUUGAUGAGAAGAGGUGCUCGGAUUCCCACUCAGCUGACCACUGGUGACUUGAGGACUUGAGGAUUGUCCAGUGACUGAUCGAUCCGGUCCACUUUGGGGCCAGGUAGUCUGCAUUCUCCUUGGCUUCUCAGUCUCGCCUUCUGCCAUGUGGUAUGGCAGAACGUAACCAUUU